CCGCUAGACAGCUCAAUUAAGCAGCUCAUUAAAGGCCAAGCUAACGAAGCGGCCUCCACUGCAAGCCUCAACAAACAGUGUGACUGUGCAGGCUACAAAUUGGCGGAUACCAACAGGUCCUCUCUGACACAAAGCGCCGAGGGGCUGAGGGAGGCGGGCGAGACGAGGGGUGCAUCUUAACCUGAGACGUCCCUCACACAAUUGGAGGGAAGAUUAGCAGGAUUAAGACUGGCUCACAUAUGCUGCUCUUCACUAUUGGCAUUCAACACAACACAAGCCCAACUGCCACCCAGACGGGGAGAGAAAGAGAAAGACAGGGUUUUAGGUCCCCCACCCACUGGAGCUCAUUGGUUCUUGAUGGGCUGUCGGAAAAGCGUUGACAUUGUCCCGGUGUCUUGGCCCGGUUGGUGGGGAGGAGGGACCUACUAUAAAAUACCCCUCGUCACUCCCGGGCGUGCCAAACACAAACAGUGCACGAGUGAACUGGAAUAACGAGUAAAUUCUGCAAAGUCACACACCAGCACGCGCUUGCACCUGCUACCGGUAAGUUUGAAUAUAUAGAAAAUAUUGAUUAAUUUGUAAAAAUGUAUAAAAGCAAUGUGCAUUGGUAAAGGCAAGCAUUAUUAAAAAUAUUAGCCUAAAUAAUGUUCUCUUUGUAAUUAUUCAGUGGAGUAAUUUAUUUUACUGUUUUGGUAUAUUAGAUAAUCGCUAACUUCUGGUCAUAAUUCUAUUUUUAUAGUUUGCUGAACUGGCAAAUUGUGUAACAAACUUUACAGCUUUACUUGUAAACUUAUUGAGUUGGCGAGUUGCAAAGAAUCUCUAGGACAUAAUAGGACUUUAAAUCUGCUGUACUACAUUUAAUCAAACCGUAUUACUUAGUUUUUAAUUUUUCGUUUUUAUUUCGUAUUACAUUUAUUUUAAGUUUUAGUUUUUAACCAUUCACUUCUUUUAAAGGAAUAUUGACAUCUGCGAGAAUCUGAG
ensembl:lncRNA